CAACUCCGGUUGAUCCUGCCGGACCUCACUGCUAUCGGGGUGGGACUAAGACAUGCAAGUCGUACGCCUCCCAGCCGCCGGGGGAGGCGUGGCGCACGGCUCCGUAACACGUGGCUAACC
rnacentral:rRNA from 1 species